rnacentral:rRNA from 1 species
UACGUAGGUGACAAGCGUUAUCCGGAAUUACUGGGCGUAAAGCGCACGCAGGCGGCGCAUUAAGUCUGACGUGAAAUCUCCUGGCUUAACUGGGAGGGGUCGUUGGAGACUGAUGGGCUUGAGGCGAUGAGAGGGGUGUAGAAUUCCCGGUGUAGUGGUGGAAUGCGUAGAUAUCGGGAGGAAUACCAGUGGCGAAAGCGGCACCCUGGCAUUAGCCUGACGCUCAGGUGCGAAGGCGUGGGGAGCGAACGGG